UACAGAGGUCCCAAGCGUUACUGAGAAUCACUGGGUUUAAAGGGUGCGUAGGUGGUCCGUUAAGUCAGUUGUGAAAUCCCGGGGCUCAACUCGGGAACUGCUUCUGAUACUGGCGGACUUGAGGCCAGUAGGGGUCACUAGAACUGACGGUGGAGCGGUGAAAUGCGUAGAUAUCGUCAGGAAUGCCGGUGGUGAAGACGGGUGACUGGGCUGGUUCUGACACUGAGGCACGAAAGCGUGGGGAGCAAACAGG
rnacentral:rRNA from 1 species